GAUGAACGCUGGCGGCGUGCCUAAUACAUGCAAGUCGAGCGAACAGACGAGGAGCUUGCUCCUCUGACGUUAGCGGCGGACGGGUGAGUAACACGUGGAUAACCUACCUAUAAGACUGGGAUAACUUCGGGAAACCGGAGCUAAUACCGGAUAAUAUAUUGAACCGCAUGGUUCAAUAGUGAAAGACGGUUUUGCUGUCACUUAUAGAUGGAUCCGCGCCGCAUUAGCUAGUUGGUAAGGUAACGGCUUACCAAGGCGACGAUGCGUAGCCGACCUGAGAGAGUGAUCGGCCACACUGGAGCUGAGACACGGUCCAGACUCCUACGGGAGGCAGCAGUAGGGAAUCUUCCGCAAUGGGCGAAAGCCUGACGGAGCAACGCCGCGUGAGUGAUGAAGGUCUUCGGAUCGUAAAACUCUGUUAUUAGGGAAGAACAAAUGUGUAAGUAACUAUGCACGUCUUGACGGUACCUAAUCAGAAAGCCACGGCUAACUACGUG
rnacentral:rRNA from 1 species